rnacentral:tmRNA from 1 species
GGGGUUGACUGGAUUUGACAGCGGGAAGAAAUGGUAGGUAAGCAUGCAGUGCUUCGUUGAUUGGCACUUAAAUCUCAGUCCUCGAAAAUUUAUCUGGCGAAAACAACUACGCUCUCGCUGCGUGAUUGAAGCAUAGUAGAUCGACGCUUAAUCCCGGCACAAGGUGCUGGGACGGGACAUCACUCGGAAGCUGUUGCUCCGAAGCAUUCCGGUCAAGUGGUGCAGCUACAUCGGAGAUAGUUUACGUCGGCCUCGCGGCGUAGAUGAAGUUUUUAGAGGAUAAGGUUGCGGUUGAUGGCUUUGGUUCUGCUGCAGCACGAAAACUUAGGCAAAGAUAAGCAUGUAGAAAACUUAUGAUUUCCUCGUUUGGACGAGGGUUCGAUUCCCUCCAGCUCCACA